ensembl:lncRNA
AAACUAGAUGGGCUCCAUGUAGCUUCAGUGGACUUGCCCCACAUUUCUCUUGCUGGAUUUUAGCUGUUACGUGACUUUCCCUCUCUAAUCAAGAUAUACAACAGGCUUGCGGGGGAUCGGUCUGAGGAGACACAUUGCUAUUCUGUACCUGUUCAGUCCCAGACUCGCAGCUCCUGCAGGUGCAAGCAGGAUCCUGCUCGGAUGCUUGUUAUCGCUUUUUUUUGGACUCUGAAGUUAAGUUUAUGGCUCGCUGGUGGAAUGUCUGCAGUAACGGAUGGGGAAUUUUUAUCUCUUUCUUUAUUCCGGCAUGCUGCACGCUAAAAUUUUAACACCCAGUAAUUCAAACUGAGAGCCAGUUUGCUCUCAGAGUAGUAUUUUUGUGGCAAGACAGUGGGAAGUGAAUGGCAUCACACGCACCACAUUCUGCCCUUGUUGCUCCCAAUAAUUUUAGUGCUGCAGUUAAGUAGCUAAGGAAGAAAGUUGCAGAGAUCCACCAAGGUAGCAAAAACCUGAAUGAUAUACCCCAGUGAAACACGAGUGAUUUUUGUCAUGCUUCCACAUUUAGUUCCUCUAACACCAAGAUGAAUCAUGGAGAAAUGCCGAGAGCAUUAAUCACACCACUCUGUAGUUUUCAGCUAUCUUUCGGCAGCCUUCUGAAAGUCACAGCUAAAAAUACUGAAAACACUCCAGGCCUAAUGAGAAUCGAGUUAAGAAAAAGGAUUGCGUGGAAACAGAAAGACUGAGAGGGAAGAGCUGUGUCUUGGCUGAGCUCACUGAGGUUCGGACGUAGGUGAGAUAACAACAGGAACAUUCGGCCGAGCUGAAGGUGCACCCAAUCUACAAAGGAGCCAGACACCUUACUUCAGAAAGCUGUGUAGAUCUCAGGGAUGUUUUUCCCUUACUGGAACACGAAUGAGCAAACUUUUGUCACUUCAGUUAUGGCACAAGGGGCAGAAGCAGCCCAGAGACAGAUCCCUGGCGGAGCCGUAAUGCCUGAGGUUUACUGCAGAAGCACAGGUGCCUUGAGACAAGCUCAGCACUGUUUUAAAUCUACUGAGGGCUUAAAGAGCCUCACUUCUCCCUGCUGAGCUUUUGGGCCAUGGCAGGAGCCCCAGCCCAACCUGCAGAGCCAGGCACUCCUUUCCCCAUGGCACUCCAUGCUCUGGGGCAGUGCUGUCCUAACACAAACCCCCAGGCUGCAGAGGCCAUGCAUGGGAGUGCCAGACAAUCACAAAGGAUGGUCCUAGUGUUUGACAUGGCUUCUGCCACUUGUUCUCACAAAAACUUUAAAAGACUGAAAGUGAGAAAAGCACAGGAGCAGCUGGCUGCAGUAAUAACGUGUCUUCCCUGCAUUUUACAGACU